AACGAACGCUGGCGGCAUGCCUAAUACAUGCAAGUCGAACGAUCACUUCGGUGGUAGUGGCGCGCGGGUGCGUAACGCGUGGGAAUCUGCCCUUGGGUUCGGAAUAACGUCGGGAAACUGACGCUAAUACCGGAUGAUGACGUAAGUCCAAAGAUUUAUCGCCCAGGGAUGAGCCCGCGUAGGAUUAGCUAGUUGGUGGGGUAAAGGCCUACCAAGGCGACGAUCCUUAGCUGGUCUGAGAGGAUGAUCAGCCACACUGGGACUGGGACACGGCCCAGACUCCUACGGGAGGCAGCAGUAGGGAAUAUUGGACAAUGGGGGCAACCCUGAUCCAGCAAUGCCGCGUGAGUGAUGAAGGCCUUAGGGUUGUAAAGCUCUUUUACCCGGGAUGAUAAUGACAGUACCGGGAGAAUAAGCCCCGGCUAACUCCGUGCCAGCAGCCGCGGUAA
rnacentral:rRNA from 1 species